rnacentral:rRNA from 1 species
UACAGAGGUCCCAAGCGUUGUUCGGAUUCACUGGGCGUAAAGGGUGCGUAGGUGGUGAGGUAAGUCGGAUGUGAAAUCUCCAGGCUCAACCUGGAAAUGGCAUCGGAAACUACCUUGCUCGAGGUUUGGAGGGGGGACUGGAAUACUUGGUGUAGCAGUGAAAUGCGUAGAUAUCAAGUGGAACACCAGUGGCGAAGGCGAGUCCCUGGACAAAACCUGACACUGAGGCACGAAAGCUAGGGGAGCAAACGGG